rnacentral:rRNA from 1 species
UACGAAGGGGGCUAGCGUUGUUCGGAAUCACUGGGCGUAAAGCGCACGCAGGCGGAUUGAUAAGUCAGGGGUGAAAUCCCGGAGCUCAACUUCGGAAUUGCCUUUGAUACUGUCUAUCUUCGAGUUCGGGAGAGGUUGGCGGAAUUCCUAGUGUAGAGGUGAAAUUCGUAGAUAUUAGGAAGAACACCGGUGGCGAAGGCGGCCUGCUGGGCAGUAGCUGACACUGAUGCGCGACAGCGUGGGGAGCAAACAGG